rnacentral:rRNA from 1 species
UAGCUACAGGCUUAACACAUGCAAGUCGAGGGGCAUCGGGAAGAAAGCUUGCUUUCUUUGCCGGCGACCGGCGCACGGGUGAGUAACACGUAUCCAACCUGCCCUUUACUCGGGGAUAGCCUUUCGAAAGAAAGAUUAAUACCCGAUGGCAUAAUGAUUCCGCAUGGUUUCAUUAUUAAAGGAUUCCGGUAAAGGAUGGGGAUGCGUUCCAUUAGGUUGUUGGUGAGGUAACGGCUCACCAAGCCUUCGAUGGAUAGGGGUUCUGAGAGGAAGGUCCCCCACAUUGGAACUGAGACACGGUCCAAACUCCUACGGGAGGCAGCAGUGAGGAAUAUUGGUCAAUGGGCGCUAGCCUGAACCAGCCAAGUAGCGUGAAGGAUGAAGGCUCUAUGGGUCGUAAACUUCUUUUAUAUAAGAAUAAAGUGCAGUAUGUAUACUGUUUUGUAUGUAUUAUAUGAAUAAGGAUCGGCUAACUCCGUGCCAGCAGCCGCGGUAAUACGGAGGAUCCGAGCGUUAUCCGGAUUUAUUGGGUUUAAAGGGAGCGUAGGUGGACUGGUAAGUCAGUUGUGAAAGUUUGCGGCUCAACCGUAAAAUUGCAGUUGAUACUGUCAGUCUUGAGUACAGUAGAGGUGGGCGGAAUUCGUGGUGUAGCGGUGAAAUGCUUAGAUAUCACGAAGAACUCCGAUUGCGAAGGCAGCUCACUGGACUGCAACUGACACUGAUGCUCGAAAGUGUGGGUAUCAAACAGGAUUAGAUACCCUGGUAGUCCACACAGUAAACGAUGAAUACUCGCUGUUUGCGAUAUACAGUAAGCGGCCAAGCGAAAGCAUU